rnacentral:tRNA from 1 species
CCCUGGUGGCUCAGAUGGUCAAGAGCCUGCCUGCAACGCAGGAGACCUGGGUUCAAUCCCUGGGUCAGGAA